UGAAAUUUAUCAAUAAAAACAAAUUUAUAUUUCAAAGGGAAUGUAUUAAAAUGGUUUAACUUUCAAAACAAAACAAAACAGUGUCCUCAUACUUAAACCAAAAAAAAGAUAGCAGGCACUGUGGAGGUUAACAGAAAGUCUUCUAGAGCCAAGAGAAUCUGGGUUCAUAUCACAGUCCUGCCCCAGUUUUGUCCUCUUGAACACUUUUUCUGUGAUUGAGUUUCUACAUUUGUAAAGUGAGGAUGAUAAUAGUAUCUUUCAAAAAGUUGUGUGCAAUAAAUAAGUAAACAUAAGAAGUACUUAGAAAAGUAUUAGACCCUUAGUAGUAUUUGUAAUAGUUUGGAUCUGUAAUGUUCCCCAAAGGCUCUUGUGUUGAAGGGUUGGUCCCCAGCUUGUGGCACUAUUGGAGCGGUAUAGAAACUUAAGGAGGUGGAGCCUCAUUGGAAGAAGUAUCACUAGGGGUGUGCCCUUAAAAGAUGUAUUGAGACCUUGGCUGCUCCUUCCUCCUCCUCCUUCUCUCUCUCUCUCUCUCUCUCUCUCUGUGUGUGUGUGUGUGUGUGUGUGUGUGUCUUUCUGUGCCUCUCUCUCUUCCUGGACACCAUAAGGUGAGCAGUUUUUCUUCACCAGGCCUUUCUGCCAUAAUAUACUGUCCUCCAGAGGCCCAGAAACAGUGCCAUAUGACCAUGGACUGAAACCUAUGAGACUGUGAGCUAAAAUAAAUCUUUCCUCCUUUAAGUUGAUUUUCUCAAGUAUUUCAUCACAGAAAGCUAACAUAGUAAUCAAUUAAUGUUACUUUUAAAAGACAAAAUCUCCAUUAAUUCAUUACCAUGAAAUGUGUAAAGAAUCAAACUUCUUCUCAAAUAAAUGGCACACAAAUAUUUAAUUUAAAAAAUGUCCAGUUCUGGGAAUAAUUAUUAUUAAAAUUGGGAAAAUAAAUUAUCACUGUAUUAUUGGGAGGUGGAUUCUGUAUAAAAUGUGGAUUUAUUCAUUCAACAGAUAAUUAGACAUUACACAAAAUCGAGAGGUGCUGGAAAAAUGAAAGUUUGAAAAGAGGAUUGGAGGAUAAAAAACAUAGUCAAUCCUGGAAGCCAAGCACACAGCCCCAAGAUGGGACCACUAAGGUACAGGUAUACCAGCCACAGGUGUACAUAUAUAAAGACAAAAGAGGCAAAACUUGUCCUCAAGUACGGAGUUAGAUGAAAGACAUACUAUCUACAUAAAUAUAUAAUGCAGCCAUUCUCAAAGGGUGGGCCAGAGUUGAGUAUGAAUCCCCAGAUCAUUUCAAGAGAUCUUUGGUGAUAAAUUUACAUUUUAAAAUACUAAUAUGCUCAUUUACCUUUUUUGUUCUCUCAUGAAAGUAAAAUGUUCAAAAAGUUCAUAGAUAGGAGUUCAAAUUUCAUAUUGCAGCUAACCUUUGAGAAACUGACAUUCGACAAGUUUUACUAUGUCAAACAAGAAUAUUCAAAGUUAUCCAAUAAAGCUGUUAAAAUACUCCUUCCUUUUCCACUUAUAAUUGUGAGAAUGAGAUUUCUUUAUACUUCAACCAGCACAACAUAUCACAUCAAAUUGAAUGCAGAAGCUGAAAUGAAUCCAGCUGGUUUCUUUAAGUGAAUUUGCAUAAUGCAAAAAAAUAACACUUCUCUCACAUUUUGUUUUGGGUAAAAUAUAUUUAUUCUUCAUUAAAAUAUAUUAUUUAUGUUAGCAUGUAAUUGUCUCUUAUAUUUAAUUUUUUUUUACAUUUCUGCUUUGAAUAUAAUAAAUAUUGGUAGGAAUAACCCACAUAACAAAAGCAUUGCCAUACUCUCUUAUUUUUUUAGGAGUAUGAAGGUGUCCUGACACAUGACAACUAAAUGCAAUAGGUUAUCCUGGAUUGGAUUGUGGCUGAGGGAAAAAAAAUGGUAUAGAAGAUUAUUGAAGCAUUUGGUAUAAUUUGAAUGUAGAUUGCAUAUUAGAUAAGAACACUGAAUCAGUGUUCAAUUUCCUAAUUUUGUUGAGUACAUAGUACUUGAUUAUAAAAAUGUCCUUUUUCUUUGCAAUUAUAUUUUUAAAAGUUUAAAAGGGGAAAAUUCUGUAAUACAUUCCCUUAUGAUUUUAUAGUGGAGACAAAAAUGAUAAAGCAAAUGUGACACAUUAGCAAUUGGUGAUUUGGGCUGAAGGUUCUAUGGGAAUUUUUCUUAAUGAUCUUGCAAAUUUGUGUGUGUGAAUUUAGUAAAGAUUAAAAUUGGGUGGUGUGCAUUGACACAUACCUGUAAUCCCCACUACUUGGGAGGCUAAGGCAAGGAAAAUUACAAGUUCAAAGCCAGCUUGGGCAUCUUAGUGAGACCCUAUAUCAAAAUAAAAUAAAAUAAAAUAAAAAGGGCUAGAGAGAUAGCUUGUUGAUAGAGCACUUUCCUAGCAUUUGUGAAGCCCUGGGUUCAGUCCCUAGUACCCUUACCCCCCAAAGAAAAUAACUAAUUAAAAAGGACUUAGGGCUUGGGAUGUAGCUCAGUUAUGGAGUGCUUGCCUAGAAUGCAUGAGCCCCUAGUUCAAUCCAUAAACACACACACACACACACACACACGUCUUGAGACCAAAAUGUUGGAAAAACAUUGUAGUCACCCCCAUUCAUACGUAGCCUGGAUUCCUAGUUUUAUGAGGUAACGUGGAGGUUUUUUGUUUUGUUUCCCUGCUAUUAACUUCAGGAAGGGAGAAAUGGGGAAAUUUAUUGCAUAGUAAAUAGUAACAAGUUAUUAUUUAGCAAUAGUAACUGAAGCAGAUUUUGUUACCUAGAAGUGAGAUGAAUAUCAUAACAAAAUAACAAAGUGAAGGAUGUAACUUCAGCUUUAGGACCAGGUGAAGUAGCAAGGAUGCCAAGGGAACCUAAAGGAGCAUCUUAGCAGAAGUCUCAAAGGCAUUCAGGAGGCUGUCGAUGAGGGAUUAAAGAGAGCUAAGCUAGAAACUGGAGGAAAAUACCCUUGUUAUGUAAUACCAGAAAGUCUGACCCAGGCUUCUGAGGGACAGGGAGUAAACAAAAACCAUUCCUAUUGUCACUUUUCUGAAUUACCCCCAGAAUCCAUGAGCAUUAACAAAAAAGGGAGGGGGUUCCUUUGUGCCAUUACAUUGGGAUUAUUUUCUUACACAGCAAUAUUAAUAGGCACAGACAGGAAUGAAAGAAAAAUGAAAGGAUUUUAAACAAAUACAUAUCUCCAUUUCUGCUGAGAGCCAUUGCCAAGUAGGAAUGACACAUGGCAAUUUCUUUGUCAGCCUACCCAAUGUUGCUUAGAGGAAGGACUCUCCAUAUUGACCCAGGUCAUUUGCAGUGACAUUGCAUGUAAGGUGACCUUGCUCAAGGACCAGGGCGGAUCCAGGUUUAGGGUGUAUCCUGCUGGGAUUAGGGAGUAUCCCGCUCCUUGGGUUUAGGGCGGUUCCAGGUGUAAGGUGUACCCUGCUGGGAAUAGGGUGUACUCUGCUGGGAAUAGGGCGUAUCCUGCUGCCUCAGGCACGCCCGCUCCUUGAGUUCCCCUUGAGUUCUCACUGGAUUCAGAGAGUAUUUGGGAUUUUGCCCAGAAUGUGAUUUUGGCCCAGCACGUGUGUGUAAGUGCCAGUGACAGUUCGAGAAUAAAGAGUUGCUGUUUGAAUCUACAAGGUGUUUGGUGGCUCGUGAUUUUGUGCCCAGCCAGACUGCGGCACAUUUCUUUCUUUUUUUUUUUUUUCUUUUUCUCUUGCAGUACUGGGGAUUGAACUCAGGGUCACUUUACCACUGAGUUACAUCCUCAUCCCUUUUUUUUCUUUUAAUAUUUAGUUUUUUAGUUGUAGUUGAACACAAUACUUUUAUUUUACUUAUUUAUUUUUAUGUGGUACUGAGGAUCGAACCCAGGGCCUCACACGUGCUAGGCAAGCACUCUACCACUGAGCCACAACCCCAGACCCACAUCCUCAUCCCUUUUUAUUUUUAUUUUAAGAUGGUCUUGCUAAGUUUCCCAGGCUGGCCUCAAACUUGGAUUCUCCAACCUCAGCCUCCUGAGUCACUAGGGUUAUGCCACCCUGUCUGGCUUCCCUUCCAUUUCUUGGACAACAUCAUAACCAACUGUGUUCUCAGAAUUUAUCUACAUUUUAAUAAUCACCUCCCAAUGCUGCUCUGCACACUUGCCAUCCUCUGAUGGCUUAAUAUGGUUAAGUAACAAAAUUCUAUCUAACCCCCAUUCAGACUCAAUUUUCAAAUUUCUAACCUGUGUUAGAUGCACUAUAUCUGGGUCUUAUGAAAUUAGGAAUGAACAGUUAUCUAUCUAAUCAACUCACUCAAAAUAUUAAAUAUGAAAGGUCUCUACUAGCAAAUAUCACUCAGGAAAUAUCUUGUUAUCUCCCCCCUUCUUGUUGUCACUUAGUAGGCAGCUGAAAAAAUUGCUUACCUUAUCUCCAAUAAUGUCUAGGCUGGAUAUAGUGGCAUACAUGUAUAGCCCCAGCAACUUAGGAGGCUGAGACAGGAAGAUUGUGAUUCCAAUGCUUGCCCAGGCAACAUAGUGAGACCCUGUCUCAAAAUAAAAAUUUUAAAAAGUUCUGAGGAUGUAAUUAGUGGCAGAGCACCACUGGGUUCAAUCCCCAUUACCACAAAUGAUGAUGCUAAUUAUGAUGGUGAUGAUGUCAUCUGCUGCAUCUCCAUCCUUGUACCCUUGAUCAGCCCCCUCUGUAAUAGUUCUCUGGGAACCUCCAUCCAGGUAUUAUAUCCUGGAAAACACUAUUUCAGUUAGCCUUCUGUAUUUUUUCUAGCAUUUAUACUGUGUUAGAUAUUGUAAGUUAUUUAAAGAUGAUUUAAAGUAUACAGGAAGAUGUGCACAGGUUAAAUGCAAAAAGUAUACCAUUUUACAUAAGGGACCUGAGCAUCCUCAGAUUUUUUUUUUAUCUGAUGGGGAUAGGGGCACAAUCCUGAAAGCAGUCUCUUAACACUAUGUUAACAUUUGUGCCAGAAAUCCUACAAGAUGAUAGCAUGGUAUAUUUGUUUUCAGUUACUGCAUAACAAGUAACCACAAACUUAGUUGCUUAAAACAACACAAAUUUCAUCUUUCACAAUUUGUGUGUGCAUCUGUGUGUGUCUGUGUGUGUUUACUGGAAAUUAAUCGUAGGGGGACUCUACCACUGAACCUGCCCUUUUUAUUUUGAGACAGGGUCUUGCUAAAUUGCCCAGACUGGCUUCAAACUUGCCUUCCUCUUGCUGCAGCCUCCCAAGUAGGAUUUCAGGUAUGCACCACCACACUGGCUCAUCUUUCACAAUUUCUAUGGGUCAACUAUCCAGGUCUCUGCUCAGAUCUUAUAAGGCUGAAAUUGGGGUAUCAGGUAGGGCCACUGUUUCAUGGGAAUGCUCAGAGUCAUUCGCCAGGCUGAUGCAAGUAGUUGGUAGAAUUCAGUCCCUUGCAGCUGUAGAACUCCUAGCAGCUUUGAUCAUCUUGAAGGUCAGCAGGCAAAAGCCUCUCUGACUUUUCUGCCUUCCAAGGGACUCACCUGAUUAAGUCAGUCCCCAUAGUAUAAAUUUCCCUUUUGAUAAACAUAAAGUUAAUGAUUAGUAGCCAAGUUUCAGGAGUGAUAUGUAUUAUGUUCAAGGGGAGAAGAUCAUGCAGGGUAUAUAUAACCAUCAAGGGUGGCAAUUAUCUUAGAACUUUACCUACUAAAUGGAUGAAAGAAAAUUUCAACAAUAGAUGGACUACAACAAUCCUAUAAGCAAACCUAUGUUAAACAGAUGUUAUCUUGGCUGCCCAGCAUGAAAGCCUCCUUAUUCUGUUAAGGGAACCACACUUCACUUUCAUUGACUGCCUCAUUAUUUGCAUGCAGUGUUAGCAAGACUGUCAGGUUGCUCCACAUUUGCCUUACCAAGGGGUGGACAAGUGAUUCAUGCUAAGCCAAAGCUACUCCUUGCCAGAAUUAGAAUCUUGAUAGGAAUAACAAAAAGGAUAAAAGCAGUUGAUAUUCAUCCAACAUAGCUACCAGAUUCCCUUUGCUUUUCCAGUACUUGCCUUUUUCCAAAGUUUUCUUUAGUUUUUCUUUCAAUUAUAUAAACUAUUCCCUGUUCUUCCAACAAAUUCCUUUCUUUUUCUGUAAUUUGUAAAACUUUUAGUGGGAGAAAUAAACCAAAGAUUACUUGACUCCCACUUCAAGCCUUGAUGAUAACAAAUGCAUAGUCCUCAGAGUCCUAACAAAGACUGAUAAGGCCAAAGAUGGCCUUGACUGGCUGGCUGUCACAUAUUUGUCUGACUGUCAUCGCCCCUCAUUCAUAGGGCAAUACAAGUGAGUUUCCUGAGCAGCAACUGUCUUGCCUGUUUGUGAUUUAACUUAGCAUCUUUCUUUGCAUCCUUAUCACUUAACUUUUUAUUGUACUAUUUAAAUAGUGCCACCUUUUCUCAUAAAAUAAGACUUUCUCAUAAAAGGAGUCAUUAAAUGAGCCUGACUAAACCAGAAGCAAUGUCAGCAUUUUACUGCCUUUACCCUUUCAAUCAAGCCCCUUCUGUCUCUUUCUCUAGUGCUCUCCCUGCUUUAUCUCUGUCAGUAGAAUGUAACCCCAGCUAACUGUUUAUAAUUUUUCCCACUUAUUUUGAUUGUUGAUCAAUGAGGACAGGGAUCUAAUUAUAUAUUUUUUAACUGAUGUUAAACCAUAAAUACAGAAAAGUUCAUCUUGAUGACACUUUAAUAAAGUAAACAUACACAGUAGAUAGUUACUUCUCAGAUCAAAUUAAGAAAUUAUUACUUCACCCCAGGGUAAUCUUGACUCUGACACAAUACAUCCAUUUUCUCUGGCUUUAAACUUCAUAUAAACAAAAUUUUAUAAUAUGAACUCAUGUUCAUCAAUAUCAUGCUUUGAGAUUAGUCCAUAUUGUGGGUUCAUUCUUAUUCUUUGUGGUACAUCAUUGUGACUAUUUAUUCUCUACAUUUAGGUGUUAUCCAGUUUCGAGGUUGUUAUGAUUUGAAUUGUGUCUCCCAGUAAAAUAUGUUGGUGUCCUACCCCCAGGUUCCUGUGACAAGGACAGAGUCUUUGCAGAUAUAAUCAAGUUAAAAUGAGGUCAUCAGAUUGGGCCUACAAUUCAAUAUGACUAAUGUUCAUAUAAGAAGAAGGAAAUUUGGACACAGACACAUAGAGAACACUAUGUGACAACAGAGGCAAGGACUGGAAUGAAGCAGGUAAUCCAAGGAAUUCCAGGGAUAUACAACCACCACCAGAAACUAGGAAGAGACUCUUGAUUUGUGACUCUACUGAUACCUUGAAUUUAGACCCUGCCCCCCAGAACUAUGACAGAAUAAAUUUCUCUUAUUUUAAACCAUUCA
rnacentral:lncRNA from 1 species